rnacentral:tRNA from 6 species
GGGGGGUUAGCUCAGCUGGGAGAGCGCCUGCUUUGCACGCAGGAGGUCAGCGGUUCGAUCCCGCUACUCUCCACCA